ACGUAGGUGGCAAGCGUUGUCCGGAAUAAUUGGGCGUAAAGGGCUUGCAGACGGCAUGUUAAGCCAAAUGUGAAAUGCACGGGCUCAACCCGUAAACGGCGUUUGAAACUGGGGAACUUGAGUGCAGAAGAGGCGAGUGGAAUUCCACGUGUAGCGGUGAAAUGCGUAGAGAUGUGGAGGAACACCAGUGGCGAAGGCGACUUUCUGGUCUGUAACUGACGCUGAGGUGCGAAAGCCUGGGGAGCGAACAG
rnacentral:rRNA from 1 species